GGACUACGGGGGUUUCUAAUCCUGUUUGCUCCCCACGCUUUCGUGCAUGAGCGUCAGUAUUGGCCCAGGGGGCUGCCUUCGCCAUCGGUAUUCCUCCACAUCUCUACGCAUUUCACUGCUACACGUGGAAUUCUACCCCCCUCUGCCAUACUCUAGCCCGCCAGUCACAAAUGCAGUUCCCAGGUUAAGCCCGGGGAUUUCACAUCUGUCUUAGCGAACCGCCUGCGCACGCUUUACGCCCAGUAAUUCCGAUUAACGCUUGCACCCUACGUAUUACCGCGGCUGCUGACAC
rnacentral:misc_RNA from 1 species